rnacentral:rRNA from 1 species
UAAUACGGAGGGUGCGAGCGUUAAUCGGAAUUACUGGGCGUAAAGCGUACGUAGGCGGUUAGUUAAGUUAGAUGUGAAAGCCCCGGGCUUAACCUGGGAACUGCAUUUAAAACUGGCUAACUAGAGUUGAGUAGAGGGGAGUGGAAUUUCAGGUGUAGCGGUGAAAUGCGUAGAGACCUGAAGGAACACCAGUGGCGAAGGCGACUCCCUGGACUCAAACUGACGCUGAGGUACGAAAGCGUGGGUAGCAAACAGGAUUAGAUACCCUGGUAGUCCACGCCGUAAACGAUGUCAACUAGCCGUUGGGUUUAUUGUAAACUUAGUGGUGGAGCUAACGCAUUAAGUUGACCGCCUGGGGAGUACGGCCGCAAGGUUA